rnacentral:tRNA from 1 species
GCUGAUGUAGCUUAAUAAUUAAAGCAAGGCACUGAAAAUGCCUCAAUGAGUUUACUAACUCCAUAAACA